GACGAACGCUGGCGGCGUGCUUAACACAUGCAAGUCGAACGGAAAGGCCCUGCUUGCAGGGUACUCGAGUGGCGAACGGGUGAGUAACACGUGGGUGAUCUGCCCUGCACUUCGGGAUAAGCCUGGGAAACUGGGUCUAAUACCGGAUAGGAGCCAUUUUUAGUGUGAUGGUUGGAAAGUUUUUUCGGUGUAGGAUGAGCUCGCGGCCUAUCAGCUUGUUGGUGGGGUAAUGGCCUACCAAGGCGGCGACGGGUAGCCGGCCUGAGAGGGUGGACGGCCACAUUGGGACUGAGAUAAGGCCCAGACUCCUACGGGAGGAAGCAGUGGGGAAUAUUGCACAAUGGGCGCAAGCCUGAUGCAGCGACGCCGCGUGGGGGAUGACGGCCUUCGGGUUGUAAACUCCUUUCGCUAGGGACGAAGCUUUUUGUGACGGUACCUAGAUAAGAAGCACCGGCUAACUACGUG
rnacentral:rRNA from 1 species